rnacentral:lncRNA from 12 species
CCUAAGUUGAAAAUGUGGUAGCUCUGCAAGCAUAGCCUUUAAGAAAAGUCAGUACCUUUGCGCUCCCUUCUAAGCACAUUAACUCGCAAACCCUUCCAAUGUUUUUCAUUUAGUGAUACCUUCAGCAAAUAUUCAUCGACCAUGAGACAAGCCCUGUUCUAGAGACUGGAAAUAGCACAGUUAAAAAAAAAAAUCUCUGUAUUCUUUGGAACACUUACAUCAUAAUACACCAGAAUCCCAGAGUUAGCAGUACCUGCAACUGCCCUCUUCUCUGCCACAGAGCAGUCCUCUCUACACAAGCAAAAGUAGCAUUUUCAUGGCAGAGAGCAUCAGACUCAUUGAGUAGCAGGUACUUAUGGAUCAGGAGGAUUGUGACAGCCCGCCAUGGUACUUUUAGGCUGGGCACAGAACCUUCCAAAGACUAUACUUUCAUCUCCCAGGAAAAAUAAAAAGGGGAAAAGAGACAUGCGAAUAUGAAGAAUGCAGAUAUCUUCCAUUGUGUAAGUUCAAUUUUCCUGGGGUGUUGUGCAUCCGGCUCUGAUGGUGCCAGGAGUUCUCUUCUCAGACCUGACCAAGGAAAGGACGUUCACUUUCAGUUUAGAGUAACCCCUUCCCACUUUAACUAGACUUUUCCCCAGAUGGGCCUGGGCAUGUUUAUGCUCACCCUCAGUUGAGGGAGAACAUACUCCUGUGUUCUCUGAAAAAGGUAGGAUGGAGUCAAGGGCCUGGAAUGCACAAAGCCGUAAACCCAGCAAUCUGAUUCAUUUUCUGAUUAGUUGAUUACAUCCAGGGCCAGCUUCAUGGUCAUACAACCAGUGUAGUCACAUAGGACCCCAUGAGCACAAGGCCCCACACUUUGAGUAUAAUGCUCCUUCUGUCACUUUCUUGAUAGUCUUUAAAAAGUUUCUUUUCUGUAAAUGAAGUCUGGUGGGACCAUGGAAAAUGCGCUGGGAACUGGGAGCCUGGCUCAUGCCACCUCCCAAGGAUGGUUCUGGUGUUAUAAAGUAUGCAGCACAAUCAAUCCAGUACAUUUCAGCUCCAUAAGUUUCUUAAUUCAGUAGGAAAAAACAUUUUUAACCUCAGGUCUGUACUUCACCAAAAUCUGGCUGCAUUAUUACAAUCUGUUCAAAGUUUAACUUCUCUUUAAAGUAAAUUUGCAAAAAAAAAACAAAAAAAACAAAUAAAAAAAAAAAAGUAAAUUUGCA